UUUGAUAUUUUUUUUCUUUUUUAAGUGGAGUUAAACUCUGAUCAACUGGUCUUCAUGUCUUACGACUGUUUUUGAUUGAACCAUUUUUUUUUUUGCGACUUGUAUUGUUUUGAGUACCCGCGAGCGAUAACAGUUGUGGGAGAGUCAACCAGCGAGUUAUCCCACGAUGUCAGCGACCAAGCCACCCCAUUUACUUCCCUUGGGACCCCAUUGGCACUUUUGCUUUGAAAAGUCAAGCCAAGCCAGUCCAAGCCAAGCGCAGCAUUGAAGAAAAACAUGGCAGCGGACAGCGGUGUCUCUUAUGGGCUCUCGCUGUUCUCUGUUUUUGGACAAAGACAUUUCAAGUGGUGAAGUCUCCUGGCUUUAUCACGCUACUUUCAACAUUUCUUGUCAGUCUGACAUGUGCAGUUAUUAAGCGAACUUAAUAAAAUAGGUUUGUGUGCAUCG